rnacentral:lncRNA from 1 species
CAGACUUAUUGUACAAAAUAAUAUCAGGCAACAGUUCUUUACAAAACCACAGACAGAUACAACAUAACUGUCUACUACUUGCUCCAGUUCAAUACAAACCACUCUUGGGUUAUCAAAGCUCUGAGGAUCCUUCAGUCUAUAUCCUGCCAAGGGAUUUGUUAAGAAUAUAUGUUGCUUUUACAAAGUUUUUCUUUCAUUUCUCUUCAGGGUCAUUAGGGUCUGAGUGGGAAUGAAUACUAAUAGCACAAUAUAGUCUUCUGGGUAAAAUACAUUCUCCUUGUUUUCAUGCUGAUCAGAUAGUUCAAUACGGUUUUCUCGGUCUACAUUCCUUCUGUAUAUAGCACCAGAAUAAAUGUCAAGCCAUGUCUUGCCUUAUGGAUCCACCUGCUAUUUAUGUAACAAAAUUUAAUUAUGGAAAUGAUUUCAUGCUGUUGGGGGGGGGAGGCACCCCUUUACAAACAUGUGCAGAGGUUCCUAGGCAUGCAUAAUAGAAAGCAUCUUUUUAAAGCCCUUUUAUAAAAUGUUGGUUUUUGAACAUUUUUGUGCUAUUCAGGAGUCUAGCUACAUUUUCUCUUCUCAUCCUGCAAACUGUUUAAUGAAGAAUAUACACACUUCCAAACGACAGCAUUCAUCUGCUUUAUUGAAGGUAUGUUUCUGGCUGACCACAGAAGUCUUCAGGCUUAACAUGAGUUUUGGGUUACAUUUUGCAGUGUUAGGCCUUAUAGCAAGUCAGACCGUUGCUCCAUCUAGCACCAUAUUGUCUACACUGACUAGCAAUAACCCUCCAGGAUUUCGGACCAAGACUCUCCCAGCCCUACCUGGAGAUGGUAGGGAUUGGACCUGGGACCUUUUACAUCCAAAGCAUGUUGCUCAACCACUUUGCCUUUGAGCUUCAUUGUAAGGAGAACCUUACAACCACCUACCUCUUUGAGAAAAACAUUUUUUGCUGUCUAUAUUGCAGUCCCAAAGAUAGAUGCUACAGCAACUGGACCAGGGAAGAACAAAAGAAACCAACCUGCUGUGUGCCCCUGUGCCUUCAAUGGCAGCUUGAUCUGCCAAAACACUGCUCUUUGUAUACUUGCAUUAUCCAGUCCAGUGGUUCCCAGUUAGCUAAGUACCGUUUUACAAAAGCCAUGUCAUGGACCCCUACUUUUGGAAAGUUUUAUAUCUCUGUUGUAGUUUUUGUUGUAUGAAUGGUGCCACAGAGCCCCUGGUGGGUUCCACGAACCCCCGUGAGUCACCAGUUGGGAACCACUGAUGUAAUCCACAACCGAAACCUUACAUAUAACAAAGCUACUGAUAUUUUUAGAAGAGGGUGGGUGAUGGUGCCUCUGGCAAUAAGUAUUAGAAGGCUGGCCUUGACACAGAGAAGGCCAUGCUAGUCCAUGUGAGACUGUGCUUGGAUGGUCCUAAUGCAGGCAUAGGGAACCUGUGACCCUCUAGUUCUUAGACUGCAAUUCCCAUCAUCCCACACUCACUCCUGGUCUAAUUUAUAAGGCCAGGCUGUGUAACUAUAAUAUGAAGUGCCCACUAGAAACAUGCUGUACUUGGUUGACUGCUUUCUUUCCUUCAGUGUGUUCUUAUGUUGUUGUUUUUUACUUUGUAUUUGCAAAAGAAUUUUUUUAUUAUUUUGUGGGUGAGUGGGAUUUAGAAAUAAUGACUUCCCCAGAUUCACCAUUAAUAUCCUUGCCUGAGUGGAGAUUUGAACCCAAGUCUGUUUAGUACAAGGGACGCGGGUGGCGCUGUGGGUUAAACCACAGAGCCUAGGACUUGCCGAUCAGAAGGUCGUGGUUCGAAUCCCCAUGACGGGGUGAGCUCCCAUUGCUCGGUCUCUGCUCCUGCCAACCUAGCAGUUCGAAAGCACGAAGUGCAAAUAGAUAAAUAGGUACCGUUCCGGUGGGAAGGUAAACGGCAUUUCCAUGCGCUGCUCUGGUUCGCCAGAAGCUGCUUAGUUAUGCUGGCCACAUGACCUGGAAGCUGUACGCCGGCUCCCUCAGCCAAUAAAGAGAGAUGAGCGCCGCAACACCAGAAUCGGCCAUGACUGGACCUAAUGGUCAGGGGUCCCUUUACCUUUUACCUGUUUAGUACAAGUCCGCAAUGACUAAUUGCUAUUGGCAUGCUGUGUGUGUGUGUGUGUGUGUGUGUGUGUGUAUCCGUAUCCCUGGUAGAAGAAAAUAAAUGAUGGCAUGCUGCUGGGAUACUAACUCUUGCAAGAAAUAUGGUUGUAUGUACAUUGGAAGAUUAAAAGUGCAGCCAUUAGAAUCAAUUUAGUUAAUGCACUGGUACCAAGUAAGAUUUUUCUUCAGUGACUCCCACUGCUAAGCCCAUUCUGCCUACCCCAUGAUGGCUACAUCCAGCAACAAUUGAGGGUGCACACCAUGGCAUACGCGUAUACGUACUGGAAAAUGUUGUAAUGAAAUUAUAAGCUGCUGUGAUAGUUUAGGGUCUAAAGAGCUUCUUUCCUUUGCUUUCAAAAGCACCCUUUAAAAAUAUUAUCAUUCUGCAGCAGCAUUUUCUCAACUCUUUAUCUUGUAAAUGCUUUUGGACACACAGACCAUGGGAUUAAUUAUAUAUCGUGAGCAACAAUUCAUGAAUAUUUAACACUCUCAUUUAUUCUUAAUGAAGAAUUAUGCAUUUUGACAGUGUUAUUUAAUGUGUUUUAAGGAAAUACUGCUCAUUACCUUUCCAUUUUUUAUUUUAGAUUUGAGGAAUGGAAUCAGAAUAAUAAGGGGGAUAGAUGGAGCAGUUAUUUUAAAUGUCAUUGUUCCUCUGUUUGUUUUUCAAUAUUUCUUUUAUUCAAAUAUCAGCUCAUUUUUGGGGGGGGGCAGAGUUAUGACGUUUCUGUCUGUUUGAGUCAUAACUCAGCGCUAUUAUAUUAAAUCAUGAAUCUUCCAGGCACAGUUAGGCAAAUCAGUUUAAAUAACAAUACAGUUUUGGAGUCUAACUUGGGAUUCUGUCCGCUAAAAACAACAACUAAGAACAACAGCCGGCUCUCUCGUUGAUGCCUAUAUCAAAGAGAGAAAUGUCAUGGUGGGAGAGAGAAAACGAUAGACUAAAUUCUAGAACCAUGAUCAUGAACGGCCCAAAGAGAUUUCCAUGCCAGGGGCAAAGCAAAGGGCAAGAUGGCACCCCAUCAUCCCCAUUCCACAUUCAGAAUCUGCCUAGGCUGGCAGUUAAAUUUUAUUUAAUCUCUUCCAGGGCAAAAGCACCACACCUGAAGACAGCAACCUAGCUUCAGGUGCAAAGCAAGUUGUGUGGUGCACAGUAGUUUGACUUCCAAUAGAAAUGAGGAGGGAAGCUCAUGAGGAAUAGGUGGAAAGGCUAUCUGGUAUCUGCUGUCUGAAGUGGCUGGCUCACUCUGCCUAAUGUUAGGGCCAGUCCUAACAGUGAUUACCUAAGUGUCAUGGUGAGAGAACACCAGCCAGGAUGGUGUACACAAACCACAGAUCAAAAGAUCCCCACAUUGGAACCAUCAGUCAGAUUGAAAGUAAUAUAAUUAUCUAAAUGGAGGUUUGAACUUCGACUCACUUUUAAUAGGGUUUCUUUCUAAAGAGAUUCUGGCUGAAUUAAAUUACCUGAGUUCUAAACAAUCCUCAGACUGUAUCUAUGCCUGUAUCUGUCUAUGUACAGAAAGAGAAAGAGAGACCUGUAGUGCAGGGAGAAUGAGGCAGCUGGCAUCCAAAACCAGGAACAGCAUUUGAGAGCUUCACAUUCAACAGGCAGACUCUGCAUUGUAAAGCCUCAUGACCUGACCUAAAGAAUAUCACCAGCCACUGCUACCCAGUUGGCAUACAGCCUUUUCCUGCUACACUUGGACACUGCAAAAUUAGCCACCAGGCAGCCAGUCUGGUUCCAAUUUGUGAAGGUAAACUACUUCCUACAUGCAGCUCUACAAUUUCAGGGAAAGCAUGUUCGGAUCUCAAUUAUGUUUCCCAGGCUAUUUGCUGCUGAAAUCGCUGCACUCUGUGCUUCCAUUUUGAUAAGGAAGGAAAGCAAUAAUAAAAAAAUCCAAUCUUUUACCACUUUUGCCAUAGGGGAAAUCUUGAAUUUGUGGAAGGGGGUGACUGAUUAUAUGCAUCACGAAACAAAAUGCAUAAUUAAACAGCAGCAACUCUCUAAACAUAAUCUACUCUUCUUCUGAGCAGCUGAAAGCACUGAUGUUCCACCAUCACUAAGUAUUAAAACUUCCUUCUUGCAAUCAGCCUGGAAGCUUGCCAGAUAAAAAGGUAUUUGCUGAACAGACAUAAAAGAAACAGCUUAAUCUCCCCAGUGCCACACCUCUGUAUGAGCCCAGAAAAGGAUCUUAUAAAAGAAUUGCCUGCAUAUGUAUGCAGAGAACAGUCAACGGUAUACUUAGAGGAAAGCAUCCCAUCUGUCCUACUUGGUGGAAAUGUCUUCUCUGUAAGCUUGCAGGAAAACAUCAAAGAAAGAUUAAACUUGUCUUUUCUCCCCAUCACUUUGAUGGUUUGAAGUUUGCCUGUGCAUCUUUUCUGCAUGCCCUUCUUUAAAAAAAAAAUAAGGCAAAGAGAAUAGAGAUGAUAAAAGAUACUUUUCUGAAAAAGCGAAACAGGGAGCUCCACUGAUUUUUUGCUUAUAAUAAAAGCAAAAAAGCACUAUAGUCUCCAAAGAAAUAAUUUAAAAAACAUUUAAAGAGGGCCAGCUGAAUUGCAUCCUAGAGGAACACACUGGUUCAGUCUCACAUCCUCUGUCUAUAAUUUUUGGGAAAUGCUGGGAGCUCAGGAGAGAUGCUGCAGGAAACAGGCAAGUGCCCCAGUCUUCGAAAAGAAGGAUUCAGGUAACCAUAGGAUGGACAAUCUGACAGUUUCUGGCUAGUGUGCCAAAAUGGAACAGGAUUCUGCAGUAAGUAGUACAUUCCUGCUUUCCACAUGGGUUAAUAUGUAUUUUGACAAAGAUGCUAAAACUCUGGAAGAUGCUAUAAUGCAAGCAAUUUGUAAGCAACUUGAUAACAACAAAGUGACUUCCAGAAGCCAGAAUGGAUUUGUCAAGAAUAAAUUCUGCCAGACUAACCUUAUCUCUCUUUUCCACUAAGCUAGUAGCUUAGUGGAUUGUAGGAAUGUUAUGGGUGUAAUUUAUCUUGAUUUCAUCAAAGCAUUUGACAGAGUUCCAUGUAAUAUUUUUGUUAACAAACUCUUUGAAUGUGGCUUAGACUAGAAUACAAUCAAGCAGAUUCAAAGUUGGUUAUAAAACCCCAUCCAAAGAAUAUGCAUCAGUGGCUCUGGCUUGGCAAUAGUGAAAGUGACCUUGAGAUGGCAUUUGGUUACAAACAUAAGCCAACAGUGUGAUACAGCAGCAAAAAACAAAACAAAAAACUCAACCCUAAUGCAAUUUUAGACUUCAUUAAUAUAACUAUAGUUUUCAAGUAACAAGGAAUAAUAAUUCCACUUUAGUCCUCACUAGUCAGACACCAUCUUGAAUUCUGUGUUCAGCUCUGGUCAGUGCACAUCAAGAAAGCAGACAAAUUGGCUUGUUGUUGUUGUUAAGUCAUUUAGUCGUGUCCGACUCCUCGUGACCCCAUGGACUAGAGCACGCCAGGCACUCCUGUCCUCCACUGCCUCCCGCAGUUUGGUCAAACUCAUGCUGGUAGCUUCGAGAACACUGUCCAACCAUCUCGUCCUCUGUUGUCCCCUUCUCCUUGUGCCCUCCAUCUUUCCCAACAUCAGGGUCUUUUCCAGGGAGUCUUCUCUUCUCAUGAGGUGGCCAAAGUAUUGGAGUCUCAGCUUCAGGAUCUGUCCUUCCGGUGAGCACUCAAGGCUGAUUUCCUUAAGAAUGGAUAGGUUUGAUCUUCUUGCAGUCCAUAGGAUUCUCAAGAGUCUCCUUCAGCACCAUAAUUCAAACGCAUCAAUUCUUCGGCGAUCAGCCUUCUUUAUGAUCCAGCUCUCACUUCCACACAUCACUACUGGGAAAACUUAGAGGAGAGCAAUGAAGUGGAUAUGUAAAGCCUUAAAAAGAGAAGACUUAAUGUGGACACGAUAACACUCCUCAAAUACCAGAAAGCCUUAUUCCCUACUACCUCAAAGCCUACCCUCAAAGGGAAGGACUAGAUCUGAUGAAUUUGCUCUUAAUAGUCACAGCUGUUUGAGAAUGGAAAGCUAGGGUUUCCCUUAUGGGAGGUAUUUAAUCAAGGGCUGGACAUCUUUCUAUUGGAGGUCUGAAUUUCCAGGGUCAAGCAGGAUUAGACUACCCCAAGCAGGAGACCCCCUCCACCUCUGUGCUGUGAAAGAAUAUCCCUUGAGCUCUGUUGCUUUAUUUAUAGUGUUUUGCUCUGUGGUGUUAAAUAUAAAUGUAUAAUUUAUUAUUAACUUGUUUUCAUUUGUAUACCACCCUUCAUCUGUAGAUUUCAGGGCAGUUCACAACAAAAUAAAUGGUAUGUAUCACUCAGCAUAUGGCAAGAGUUUUCAGUGCCCUUGGCACUAACCUUCCUACAUUGCAGGGGCUGGACUAGAUGAUCCUCAGGGUCCCUUCCAACUCUGCAAUUUGAUGUUUCUAUAAUUCUAACAGUUACGACUCCACAUCUUUGCCAAUCAGAGUCUGCCUGAAGAUCUUACUUUAUUGAACUGGAGACACUGAGUACUUUUGGGGGGGGUAGUUUUCUUUAUAAAGAUUUGGAAGCUCAUGUACUUGUAGCCAUGAAAGUCUUCAUCUCUAGGGUAUUCUUCCCUUAGCUACUAAAUUCCAUCCUAAUUGAUGGUUUUUCUUCCCCUCGAGAGGUGUUAAUGAAGUUACUAAAAUCUCUUAAUAAGAAAUUGUUUGAGUUAAUAAAGGACAUAACUGUCCAAGCAUUGGCAGAUUUUUUAAAAAAGUGUUAUCCUUAAAAAUCUUCUCCCAAUGAUUUUGAUAGAUGAUUUGUAACUCUGGGGUGGGUGGGUGGGUGUGCAAAGUUUCUCUGGGCGGCAUAUUAUUGCACAGCUCUCAGGUGAAGCGGGCAGCAGCAGAACAUGUAACGUUGCAGCUAAUUGUAAAUUAUUUAGAUUUGUCGCAGGUUUAAUAGGGGCCGAGAAUUUUGUAGCUUCUAUGGGCUUUUGUUAAAAGAGCUUUUAAUUGGGCCACAGCCAAGGGAACUGCAAGUUUACAAGUACAUUUUAUGUUGCUUAGCGUUGAUCCAGAUGGCCUGUGUGAUAUGCCUUCUGCAUUAAACAUAGGAUCUUUCCCCCACAGGAGUCUUAACGCCAUGAUUAACACACAGGCAAGCUCCUUACACCUCCCAGCUUGAGAACUACAUAAAUAAGUGAGAUCCAGCAGCAGUGGAUCCAUAAUCUGGUGUCUCAGUUCUGUUACUUCAUCAGGAGUAGAUCCAUGGUCCAGCUACAAUGUCUGCUGCUUCAGUAUGUGGUUAGGUAAAGGUACCCCUGCCCGUACGGGCCAGUCGUGACCGACUCUAGGGUUGCGCGCUCACCUCGCUCAAGAGGCCGGGAGCUGGCGCCGUCCGAAGACACUUGUGGGUCACGUGGCCAGUGUGACGAAGCUGCUCUGGCGAGCCAGCACCAGCACAGCACACGGAAAUGCCGUUUACCUUCCUGCAAUAAAGCGGUACCUAUUUAUCUACUUGCACUUAGGGGUGCUUUCGAACUGCUAGGUGGGCAGGAGCUG